UACGGGGGGGGCAAGCGUUGUUCGGAAUUACUGGGCGUAAAGGGUCCGUAGGUGGCUUGCUAAGUCAGACGUGAAAUCCCUCGGCUUAACCGGGGAACUGCGUCUGAGACUGGCGAGCUUGAGUGCAGGAGAGGAACGCGGAAUUCCAGGUGUAGCGGUGAAAUGCGUAGAUAUCUGGAGGAACACCGGGUGGCGAAGGCGGGCGUUCUGGACUGGUAACUGACACUGAAAGACGAAAGCCAGGGGAGCAAACGGG
rnacentral:rRNA from 1 species